rfam:Canis lupus familiaris chromosome 29, whole genome shotgun sequence.
AGGAGGAACAACCGCAGUGGCGGGGCCAGCUUUGCAGCCCUGGAGUCAGCCCCCGCAGUAGCUCCGGAGCUCUCCGUCUGCAGGGCCUGGAGGCUCCGGGGCGGG